GACGAACGCUGGCGGCGUGCUUAACACAUGCAAGUCGAGCGGUAAGGCCCUUUCGGGGGUACACGAGCGGCGAACGGGUGAGUAACACGUGGGUGAUCUGCCCUCAGCUCUGGGAUAAGCCUGGGAAACCGGGUCUAAUACCGGAUAUGACUCCAUGACGCAUGUUGUGGGUGGAAAGCCUUGUGCGGCUGAGGAUGGGCCCGCGGCCUAUCAGCUUGUUGGUGGGGUGANGGCCUACCAAGGCGACGACGGGUAGCCGGCCUGAGAGGGCGACCGGGCCACACUGGGACUGAGACACGGCCCAGACUCUACGGGAGGCAGCAGUGGGGAAUCUUGCGCAAUGGG
rnacentral:rRNA from 1 species